GAUCAAAGACGCGCGAUACCGCGCUUCCUUACGUAAUUUCGUUCAUUCAUCAAUCCACUCCUUCAUUCAUUCAUAUCUCGUUCUCAAGUCUGCACACACACUUGCCUUCCGACUGAUAACAUCCGGAUCGAAAUCACCGAUCGCCGAAAUGACGAGUGUCGUCAGUUGUCGAAAAAGAAAACUGGACUUGCCGGUCAUCGUCACACACACUCACGGAGCGCAGAUUAUAUCAGUUCGCGAUCGGUUGGAGCCGAGCCGCUGUGGAGGGGGAACCGUCGGCGAGUCGACGAUUUUAUAAAGGAGGCAGCAACGCAGCCGCCGUGACAUUAUUGCGAUCGUCGCGGCUGCUGUCUGAGGUGGGACGAUCGAGAUCGGUUCGUUUUUUCGAGGAGUCAAGUGUUGUUGCACAGUGUGGAUCCAUAGAGUUGUUUCGAGGACAAGGCGAAGGCUCGACUGUGCGGAUACACGAAGCCAGCAAAACCUGCAUCCUCAAUGUGGAGACGUCCGCACGACCGAGGAGGAUCGAAGAAGGGGGCCGCGGCCUCUUUGCAGCAGCAGUAUCCGGCGGGAAAAUUCGAAUCCAGGAGACCCCGGAUUUCCAGUCGUGAAUACUAUUGAGACAGAAAAUCAGCAACGCUUCACAGUCCAGCGUGUUUUUCUUCCUCAACUGCCUUGUUUUUCACGGAGAAUUUUAUUGCCCGCCGCGCGAUAAGAGUUAUCUGUCGAUUUUUACCGGCAGCGAGCGCACGAAUUAACAAGAGGAUAACAGAUCAAGCAAGAAAAUGGACAUCUCCGUUUGCUCUCUUUUGAUGCUUCUGUUGCUGGCAGUGGGUGGUGCAACAGCAGAGUAUCGAGUAUCAGUACAAGAUAUAAGGGUUAUUCACAAGGCUCGAAAUCAUUUCUUUUUAUAUACAACAGAAAAAAAUAGAACAGCGGAUACUGAAAUAUUCUUCGAAUCCCAGCAUGUGGAUUUAGUCAGAACUGAGCCAGCUCAUUUUAUAGCAAAGAAAGAUGAAUACAAUUGGACAAUUGAAAUUCUCGGACUAAACCCUGGUAAUGCAUUGAUCAGUACAAAUGUAUCCGGAGCUGACCCAUCAGAUUUUUCGGACGCGUUCUUGCGAGUGACAGUGGAGAGAUCUGACACUCUUUACCACGUGAGUGCCGUCGUAGGAUGGAUCUACUUCUUGGCAUGGAGCAUAAGUUUCUACCCGCAGAUCCACAGCAAUUACAAGAGGAAGAGUGUCGUGGGCCUGAACUUCGACUACCUCUCGCUCAACCUCGUCGGCUUCAUCAUGUACGCGCUUUUCAACUGCGGACUAUACUGGAUACCGGAAAUCGAGCAAGAAUACUUCAGCCGCUACCCGAAAGGUCUGAAUCCGGUUCAAGUCAAUGACAUAUUCUUCGCACUGCACGCGGUCUGUGCGACGCUGGUGACGAUAGUCCAGUGCUUCAUCUACGAGACCGGGACGCAAAGGGUGUCGACGACCGCGCGGAUAAUCCACGGCAUCUUCUCCAGUUUCGUCCUGAUAUCCGUAAUACUCGCUAUUCUGCACGUGAUCCAGUGGUUGGACUUCCUCUACUACUGCAGCUACGUCAAGCUCGCAAUCACUCUCAUCAAAUACGUACCUCAGGCCUUCUAUAACUACAAGAGAAAAUCGACCGUCGGCUGGAGCAUAGGCAAUAUAUUUUUAGACUUCACCGGUGGCGUGCUCUCUAUGCUGCAAAUGAUCUUGAACGCGUACAAUUACGAUGACUGGGAAAGUAUUUUCGGCGAUCCCACGAAAUUCGGCCUUGGAUUUUUCUCCGUCGCCUUCGACAUAUUUUUCUUAGUACAGCACUACGUACUAUACAGGGACCGAAACGAGUACGUCGAGAUUCCCGGCGUCUGUCACGAGAACAAUCAAGGCGAAGACUCGAGUUGUAGCACGUAAUAGCGUGACUGCCACAACUGAAGUUCCAAAAAAAGAAAAAUUCUUCACGUUACCCAUCGAAUCUCCAUUACCUAUAAUCAUUCCACGACUUUGAGAGUGCUAUACGUAUUUUUAUAUAACUAUUUUUCUACGUCUUCAUCAUUCAUCAUCAUCGACACGAAGAACUGAUUUUUUCUCUAAUCAGUAACGAUCUGCACUUUGAUGCACUUAUAUCGCUCGUUUUCAAAAACAAAAAAAAUUCAAAUGCAUGGAUCAGUACGAAGAUCCAAAAAUGAGAAUGGCAUCUAAAGUAUCAACACUUCUGAAAACUGCCCAACUGGCAGGAUUUGCUUCGAGAAACAUCAAUUGUUGGACUGCUGCAAUUACUAAAAAGCAUAGAGAGGUUUAUCUACAAACCUAUCCAACUUUACUCCAACAUUCAAAUGGUAGUACAAUCAAUAUUCAAUACCAAGAACCCGUUGGUGUCAUCAGGCUUCCACUGGAUCUGACGACACUGACAGAAGAAGAAAAAAAGAGGAGGCUGGAAAAACGUAAACCCAAGACCAAAAUUAAGAUUCAGGACGACAUUGAUGAUGACUUUGAUGAAAAUCGCUACCUCAAGUUCAAGAAGAAAUAAAAUUAAGUACGUCAGCCACUUUUCACAGACACUUUGUUCUUUGUUAUGUCUUAGUUACUGUUUGAUGCCACACGAGCGCAGUUCAAUUUUUGUAAAUAACUUUUUUACACAACGAGAUCGUUUUAUAAGUGCACAGUACUGAAAAUAAUCAUCAAACCAUAUUUAGUUAAAUGCCAAAUUAUUCUGGCCAAUGUAAUGUGAUAAUAAUUAUAUAAUAAUAAUAAAUAGUUUAAAUGACAAAAUUG